GAACGCUGGCGGCGUGCUUAACACAUGCCCGUCGAACUGACAGGCCCUGCUUUUGUGGGGUGCUCGAGUGGCGAACGGGUGCGUAACACGUGAGUAACCUGCCCUUGACUUUGGGAUAACUUCAGGAAACUGGGGCUAAUACCGGAUAGGAGCUCCUGCUGCAUGGUGGGGGUUGGAAAGUUUCGGCGGUUGGGGAUGGACUCGCGGCUUAUCAGCUUGUUGGUGGGGUAGUGGCUUACCAAGGCUUUGACGGGUAGCCGGCCUGAGAGGGUGACCGGCCACAUUGGGACUGAGAUACGGCCCAGACUCCUACGGGAGGCAGCAGUGGGGAAUAUUGCACAAUGGGCGGAAGCCUGAUGCAGCAACGCCGCGUGCGGGAUGACGGCCUUCGGGUUGUAAACCGCUUUCGCCUGUGACGAAGCGUGAGUGACGGUAAUGGGUAAAGAAGCACCGGCUAACUACGUG
rnacentral:rRNA from 1 species